CCUACGGGAGGCAGCAGUAAGGAAUAUUGGUCAAUGGACGAAAGUCUGAACCAGCCAUGCCGCGUGAAGGAUGAAGGCCCUCUGGGUUGUAAACUUCUUUUAUCUGGGACGAAAAAAGGGUAUUCUUACCCACUUGACGGUACCAGAGGAAUAAGCACCGGCUAACUCCGUGCCAGCAGCCGCGGUAAUACGGAGGGUGCAAGCGUUAUCCGGAUUCACUGGGUUUAAAGGGAGCGUAGGUGGGCUGAUAAGUCAGUGGUGAAAUCUCCGGGCUUAACCCGGAAACUGCCAUUGAUACUAUUAGUCUUGAAUUAUCUGGAGGUAAGCGGAAUAUGUCAUGUAGCGGUGAAAUGCUUAGAUAUGACAUAGAACACCAAUUGCGAAGGCAGCUUGCUACGGAUUGAUUGACACUGAGGCUCGAAAGCGUGGGGAUCAAACAGGAUUAGAUACCCUGGUAGUCCACGCCCUAAACGAUGGAUACUCGACAUCAGCGAUACACUGUUGUGUNUGNGCGAGAGAUAGUAUCCACCGAGGAGUAACGACCGCGAGUUAGUAACGUUACGAAAGGAAGUUAGCGGCGNGAGACGNGCGACGGACGACGACGAGGGAGGAGG
rnacentral:rRNA from 1 species